CUUGACCGAGCCGAGCCACAGGGGCCUUCCCGGCUCGCGGCCCUGCCCGUACGUCUCCAGCAGGGCGUGUGCCUC
rnacentral:antisense_RNA from 1 species